AAACCAACAGGGAUUGCCCUAGUAACGGCGAGUGAAGCGGCAACAGCUCAAAUUUGAAAUCUGGCUCUCGGGCCCGAGUUGUAAUUUGUAGAGGAUACUUUUGAUGCGGUGCCUUCCGAGUUCCCGGAACGGGACGCCAUAGAGGGUGAGAACCCCCCGUCUGGGCUGGAUGUCAAAUCUCUGUAAAGUUCCUUCAACGAGUCGAGUAGUUUGGGAAUGCUGCUCUAAAUGGGAGGUAUAUGUCUUCUAAAGCCUAAAUACCCGGCCCAGAGACCCGAUAGCGCAACAAGUAAGAGUGAUCGAAAGAUGGAAAAGCACUUUGAAAAGAGAGUUAAAAGUACGUUGAAAUUUUUGUUUUUGAAAGGGAAGCGUUUUUAUGACCCAGACUUGGGCUCGGUU
rnacentral:rRNA from 1 species